rnacentral:tRNA from 1 species
UAAAGAGUAGCAUAGAGGGAGUGCGAAGAGUUUUGAUCUCUUAGGUGUAGGUUCAACUCCUAUCUCUUUAG